CCUUAGCUCAGGCGGCCAGAGCGACGCGCUCGUAAUGCGGAGGUCAAGGGUUCGAUCCCCUUAGG
rnacentral:tRNA from 1 species